CAGCAGCCGCGGUAAUACGUAGGUGGCAAGCGUUGUCCGGAAUUAUUGGGCGUAAAGGGCUCACAGGCGGUUUCCUAAGUCUGAUGUGAAAGCCCCCGGCUCAACCGGGGAGGGUCAUUGGAAACUGGGAAACUUGAGUGCAGAAGAGGAGAGUGGAAUUCCACGUGUAGCGGUGAAAUGCGUAGAGAUGUGGAGGAACACCAGUGGCGAAGGCGACUCUCUGGUCUGUAACUGACGCUGAGGAGCGAAAGCGUGGGGAGCGAACAGGAUUAGAGACCCCAGUAGUCCCUGUCUCUUAUAC
rnacentral:rRNA from 1 species